UAGGCGUCCGGCUGCCGGACCAAUAUCCACUUCCUAAAUAUAAUAGCAGCUUGACCACGCCUCUUUAAUCGUUGUUACGUUAAUCUGACCAAUCUGACGUUAAUUGACUUUUCGCCAUUUUUACCACAUAUCUUUUGUAGUUUUGUACACACGUUUACAGGUUUCGUAUAGUAGCAUUUCUGUCCUGUUUGCAACUUGCUUUUAGAGGUAUGAGUACAAGGCCAAUAAAAGAUCGUGUGAUAAUAAGUCAUUUUUGCUGCCACCAAAGUCUGUGUCUGAUACCUUAAAAACAGUUGGUAGACCUUCAAAGUAUAAACAUUAUGAUGAUGACAGUUUAUAGUGAAGCUUAUAAAGAAGUGGUGAGCAAAGAUGUGUCAAUCAGAAGAGCUGCAUUGGAAUAUGGUAUACCUGCAUAGGGGUAGGAACAAACUAAAA